rnacentral:rRNA from 1 species
CACUUCGGUGGGGUUAGUGGCGAACGGGUGAGUAACACGUGGGCAAUCUGCCCUGCACUCUGGGACAAGCCCUGGAAACGGGGUCUAAUACCGGAUACUGACCACUACGGGCAUCUGUGGUGGUCGAAAGCUCCGGCGGUGCAGGAUGAGCCCGCGGCCUAUCAGCUUGUUGGUGAGGUAACGGCUCACCAAGGCGACGACGGGUAGCCGGCCUGAGAGGGCGACCGGCCACACUGGGACUGAGACACGGCCCAGACUCCUACGGGAGGCAGCAGUGGGGAAUAUUGCACAAUGGGCGAAAGCCUGAUGCAGCGACGCCGCGUGAGGGAUGACGGCCUUCGGGUUGUAAACCUCUUUCAGCAGGGAAGAAGCGAAAGUGACGGUACCUGCAGAAGAAGCGCCGGCUAACUACGUGCCAGCAGCCGCGGUAAUACGUAGGGCGCAAGGCUUGUCCGGAAUUAUUGGGCGUAAAGAGCUCGUAGGCGGCUUGUCACGUCGGUUGUGAAAGCCCGGGGCUUAACCCCGGUCUGCAGUCGAUACGGGCAGGCUAGAGUUCGGUAGGGGAGAUCGGAAUUCCUGGUGUAGCGGUGAAAUGCGCAGAUAUCAGGAGGAACACCGGUGGCGAAGCGGAUCUCUGGCC